UACGUAGGGGGCAAGCGUUGUCCGGAAUCAUUGGGCGUAAAGAGCGUGUAGGCGGCCCGGUAAGUCCGCUGUGAAAGUCCAGGGCUCAACCCUGGAAUGCCGGUGGAUACUGUCGGGCUCGAGUCCGGAAGAGGCAAGUGGAAUUCCUGGUGUAGCGGUGAAAUGCGCAGAUAUCAGGAGGAACACCAAUGGCGAAGGCAGCUCGCUGGGACGGUACUGACGCUGAGACGCGAAAGCGUGGGGAGCAAACAGG
rnacentral:rRNA from 1 species